rnacentral:rRNA from 1 species
AUUGAACGCUGGCGGCAUGCCUUACACAUGCAAGUCGAACGGCAGCACGGGGGCAACCCUGGUGGCGAGUGGCGAACGGGUGAGUAAUACAUCGGAACGUGCCCCGUAGCGGGGGACAACCAGUCGAAAGACUGGCUAAUACCGCAUACGCUCCACGGAGGAAAGCAGGGGAUCGCAAGACCUUGCACUAUGGGAGCGGCCGAUGCCCGAUUAGCUAGUUGGGAGGUAAAGGCUCACCAAGGCAACGAUCGGUAGCUGGUCUGAGGAGGACGACC